rnacentral:rRNA from 1 species
CCCUUAGAUGUUCUGGGCUGCACGCGCGCUACACUGACAUACUCAGCAAGUUUCCUUGCCUGAAAGGGUUGGGUAAUCUUGUUAGUGCAUGUCGUGAUGGGGAUAGAAUAUUGUAAUUAUUGCUCUUUAACGAGGAAUUCCUAGUAAGCGCAAGUCAUCAGCUUGCGUUGAUUACGUCCCUGCCCUUUGUACACACCGCCCGUCGCUCCUACCGAUUGGGUGAUCCGGUGAAUGAUUCGGACUCUGGCUAUGCUAGCUACUAGCUACGUCAGGGAAAGUUUUGUGAACCUUAUCACUUGGAGGAAGGAGAAGUCGUAACA